UCCUAAGUGGUCUAGUGGUUAGGAUUCCAUCCUCUGACUGUGGUGGCUGGGGUUCAAUUCCCUGCCUGAGAA
rnacentral:tRNA from 1 species